UACGUAGGUGGCAAGCGUUGUCCGGAUUUACUGGGCGUAAAGGAUGUGUAGGCGGAUACUUAAGUGAGAUGUGAAAGCCCCGGGCUCAACCUGGGGACUGCAUUUCAAACUGGGUGUCUAGAGUGCAGGAGAGGAAAGCGGAAUUCCUAGUGUAGCGGUGAAAUGCGUAGAGAUUAGGAAGAACAUCAGUGGCGAAGGCGGCUUUCUGGACUGUAACUGACGCUGAGGCAUGAAAGCGUGGGGAGCAAACAGGAUUAGAUACCCUGGUAGUCCACGCCGUAAACGAUGAGUACUAGGUGUAGGAGGUAUCGACUCCUUCUGUGCCGCAGUUAACACAAUAAGUACUCCGCCUGGGAAGUACGGUCGCAAGAUUAAA
rnacentral:rRNA from 3 species